rnacentral:misc_RNA from 1 species
GAAUUUUUAUUAUAGUCCAAAAAAAAAAAAUUCAAUAAUCUUUGUAAAAUCUUCUGAUAACAAUCUUAUAUGCUGUGUUUCCACCAACAUAUAGCUGGGAAGAUUUCCUGUGAAGUGGCAUAAAGAAUUUAGCAAUAACUGAACAAAAUUUUGAUUUUAUGGAUUGAAUAAAUCAUCCUAAAAACGUAGCAAUGACUAAGCUAACUACCAUGAAAAAUAAAUAAAGGCCGACAAGGCAAAAGCCCCAGGAUUUAGGCACCCGAAAUCUGGACCAAGUGAUAACUAGCAGAGAUCCCAUCAGGCUCAAGAGCAAGAACACAAAUGCAAUCACAAUACCAGUGUGGAGAUGAAGUUCAUAAGCUUUUGGAUAAAUAUCAGCUGUUUGCAUCACCAAUGCUGUCCCAAGUCCAACAAGCAUAUUAAACAUUGGCCCAGCAAAGCACCCAGCCAUGGCCAUUGCUGGCUGCCCUGCUCUGGCAACUGCAACAUCAGCCACAAGAUCACCCACUGAGUUUCCCCAAGCAAGUACCGUAAGGCCCAGAAUUGAAGGAUGCACUUUAAGAAGCAUUCCAAUUGCCACCAAGCAGUCUAGCAGUUCUCCAGCAACAGUAGAUAUCCAGAAGACACUCAUUAUAAAUGCCACAAGCACUACAGGCAUUUGCUCG